rnacentral:rRNA from 1 species
UACGUAGGGGGGCAAGCGUUGUCCGGAUUUACUGGGCGUAAAGCGCGUGUAGGUGGGGGAGCGUGUCCGGUGGGAAAGCCCGCGGCUCAACCGCGGAAGUUCGCUGGAAACUGCUCUUCUUGAGGGUGAUAGAGGGAAGUGGAAUUGCUGGUGUAGCGGUGAAAUGCGUAGAUAUCAGCAGGAACACCCGUGGCGAAGGCGGCUUCCUGGAUCGACCCCUGACGCUGAGACGCGAAAGCGUGGGGAGCGAACGGG